rnacentral:rRNA from 1 species
CCUACGGGAGGCAGCAGUGGGGAAUAUUGGGCAAUGGAGGAAACUCUGACCCAGCGACGCCGCGUGCGGGAUGAAGGCCUUCGGGUUGUAAACCGCUUUCAGUAGGGAAGAAGCGAAAGUGACGGUACCUACAGAAGAAGCACCGGCUAACUAUGUGCCAGCAGCCGCGGUAAUACAUAGGGUGCAAGCGUUGUCCGGAAUUAUUGGGCGUAAAGAGCUCGUAGGUGGUUCGUCACGUCGGAUGUGAAAAUCUGGGGCUCAACCCCAGACCUGCAUUCGAUACGGGCGAUCUAGAGUGUGGUAGGGGAGACUGGAAUUCCUGGUGUAGCGGUGGAAUGCGCAGAUAUCAGGAGGAACACCAAUGGCGAAGGCAGGUCUCUGGGCCAUUACUGACACUGAGGAGCGAAAGCGUGGGGAGCGAACAGGAUUAGAUACCCUGGUAGUCCACGCCGUAAACGGUGGGCACUAGUUGUGGGAACCUUCCACGGUUUCUGCGACGCAGCUACGACAUAAGUAGCCCGCCGUCGGGAGGUACGAGCGCGAGAAGUUAAACUAACUAAAGGUAAAGUUAGUUACGGCGUGAGACGUGCCGACGGACGACGACCGAGGGGAGGUUAGG